rnacentral:rRNA from 1 species
AGUGAACGCUGGCGGUAGGCCUAACACAUGCAAGUAGAACGGCAGCACAGUAAGAGCUUGCUCUUACGGGUGGCGAGUGGCGGACGGGUGAGGAAUACAUCGGAAUCUACUUUUUCGUGGGGGAUAACGUAGGGAAACUUACGCUAAUACCGCAUACGACCUACGGGUGAAAGCAGGGGAUCUUCGGACCUUGCGCGAUUGAAUGAGCCGAUGUCGGAUUAGCUAGUUGGCGGGGUAAAGGCCCACCAAGGCGACGAUGCGUAGCUGGUCUGAGAGGAUGAUCAGCCACACUGGAACUGAGACACGGUCCAGACUCCUACGGGAGGCAGCAGUGGGGAAUAUUGGACAAUGGGCGCAAGCCUGAUCCAGCCAUACCGCGUGGGUGAAGAAGGCCUUCGGGUUGUAAAGCCCUUUUGUUGGGAAAGAAAAGCAGCAGGUUAAUACCCCGCUGUUCUGACGGUACCCAAAGAAUAAGCACCGGCUAACUUCGUG